AUGGCAUUGGGUGUGUUGGGGCAGAGAAGCUGGUGCCAGUGCCUCUGCCUGGCCGUCGCUGCUGCCGCUGGCCUCCCUUCAGUUCUGGGAACGGUGCUGUAUCCUGUGUCUCUGGGAGGCCCCUGUGCCCCUGUGUGGAGAGGAUGGCAAGGAGGGAUGAGAGUGUGCUGGAGGAGGAGGAAGAGCAUGAUGCCAGGUCCUGAGAGGGCUCUCUUGGGGCUGAGGCCCUUUCCAGAAAUGGAUGGGUGCACCGUGGCCAGGCACGUCUUGGAGAUCUGUGAGCUGGGGCCUGCGUGUGUGUGUUGUGAAUUGUACCUGUGGAUUUCUUCUUCUGUUCCCUUGUGCCCCUAGGGGUGGCUGCCUGUUCUGUCCCUUGCAGGGUCCUGACCCAUGUGGAGGGAAAUGACUGCCGGUUGAAGGAGUGAAGCUGAAUAGUGCCCAUGGAGGAUGAAGCGGGAGGCACUCGAUGCUGCACAGCGUGUCGGUGCUGGAUGGGCAGGUCUGGCAAUCGGUAUGAAAUUGCUUGGAGCAGUCUGGGGUUGUCUGAGUCUGGCAGGUUUUUUUGCUCCUUGUUGUGCUGGGGUUUUUCCUUUGCAGCCUCAGCAGGUGCCUGUCUCCCGUACGGGAAGGGGAUGGCGUCCCGCACAAGGGCUGGAGAUGUGUGAUGCCGGGUGUGGUGAGCGCCGGCUGUUGGGGGUGAGUUCUUUCCCCUCGUGUCUGUGUGCCCUUAGUAGUGGGUAGGGGUGCUCCCUUGGCUGCCUGUGCAGGGUGGGAAUGCCUCCACAGAGGUCAGGACCCUGGACAGAGCGAAAACCGGGCGUUCCCCGCAAGGAGCAGAAUGCAACACAGGAGAAGGAAACCACUGAGGAAAAGGGAGAGGGCUAAGGACUGGAGCAGAGCAGCGGUAAGGGAGUAAGAGGAGCAGGAUGCUGGAAGGUGCUUUGGGUCGGUGGGGAUGGUGGGAAGGCCUUCGCGUUGGACGGUGUCCCGCGUUCAAUGCGUGCUUGCAGUUACGGUCGACCGGAGUGUCGUGUAACCCGAGGUUUCCCUCGCUUCUUGCGGCGGUGUGCUGUGGCCAGGGGUCCCUCAUC
rnacentral:lncRNA from 1 species